rnacentral:lncRNA from 1 species
GUUUCAAUGGGUCAGUGGUAGGUGGAUAAAUAAGAAAUUACAUCUUUAUGAAAAAUUAGAAGCCACAGCUCCAAAUUUCAUACCAUUUCCCAAAUGUUCCUCUCAUAGACUUUUUUUUUUAUGAGGCAAAAAUAUGCUUCUGCAUCCCCUGCUUGUUUUUCUAAAAUGAAUUAAUUUGGUACAUGCAGUUAGAAUCUCCUCCUGGAUUCUUCAGGACUCCUGUCUAUCCCAACCUAACCUGCUUCGCUUUGCUUGAAUGAUGGGGGUGGGAAGAAAAAUCCAAGAGAAGAGCCUUCUGAUCAAUUCAAAAUCAAGAUGAAUAUAGCAAAAGAACGAUUUUAUUUUUUUUCUAGUUGAUAUAGAACCCAAACUGCUAGUAAAAAGAUAGACAGUGGGGGGAAGAUGAAAGAUCUUGCAAACUUCUUUCAGAUGGGAAGGUUUGCUUUCUUUCCCUUAAAAAAGAAAAGUAGGCAAGUCACUACACAUUUCUCACUCCAAAUCCCAUUAAACUUAAAAUUAAUGAAAAUUUCUAAAGUCACUGGAAGUAGAUGAUCUGUCAUGCAGUAGAUUGUCUGCCGGCCUUCUCAAGAUUGUCAAUAGGAAAUGUGGGUGUGAGGAAGAUGCCUGAGAAACUGCUUGCCAUUUUUAAGACUAAGGAUUUUUUUAAUAGCAAUUUUACUCAGUUUAAUCUGUUUGUGAAGUUAAAAUUCUGGAAACAAGGGCGCAGCCAAUCUGAAAUAACCUUACUGAGUAAUCAUCUAACCCUGUCUCUGCACCUGGAAGUAAAAGAAUUCAGCAUUAUGUGAGGAAGAAUGCUCGCCAUGACCCAGUUCUAUCCUUCACUGCAUAACUUUCUCUCCUGAAAGCACUGAUUGAUUUCAAAGAGACUACUGCAGAGAGAUCGUCUGGGAUGUGAAGAGAAUUAGAAUUGGACCCAAAGGUACAAAUGUAACUGGUGCUAAAAAUAGCUCACACUUUAGAAAGUUGAUUAACACACACACAAAAAGAAGUUAUUAAAAUGUUCAAUUAGAAUCUCUGCAGCUUGGAGAUUCUAUUUUUAAUCUUUAAGGUAUUAUGUAUGCAAAAUGCAGAAGGGUGUGAACCUUACUAGGAACAGGAAAAUAAAGAGAGGGAGCUGCAAAUGCUUCCUUUGAGAAGCAGCCACAGAGAGGUUGAUGGCAGCAGAAAUUAUUAUUACUGCAAAUAUGUCCAGUCCAUUAUGUCCAUCCAUUAUCAUGGCAAAAAAAAUCUUAUAAUUCUUUUUACUUUGUGAUCCCAGAAAUUCUUUUUAAUAUGAAUUUUAGAAAUUCCAUAUCCUAGAUUUAGUGUUUACUUACAUUCAUUCUUAUACUCCCUGACCACAUUAAAAAUAGAAUAUCAAUUAAUUGUAAAUAUUAGUUGGUAAUAUAAAAAUCCAUUUGCUUCUAGAAUUAGCGCAAUUAUCUAUCAGGGUUGCUCAAACAGCAACUUCAAAGUACCCCUUGAUUCCUUCUUCAAUCUCACUCCUCACAGCCAAUCACCAGGUCAUGUCAAUUUUGCCUCUUAAAUAACACUCAAAUCACCCACUUCUCUCCAUCCCCAUGGUUACAGCUCUAGUCCAAUCUACCAAACUCUCCUGCCUAACCUAUUACAAAAACCUCCCUACACUUUCCCAAAUGCACUGUGUUCUCCUCCUCUAUCCAUUCUCCAUUUUGCACAGUAAUUGAAAUCACAACAUAUGGCUAUUUAUUUCUCUUUUUAAAAACUUCUGGGGGCACCUUGGUGGCCCAGUGGUUGAGCAUCUGCCUUUGGCUCAGGUUAUGAUCCUGGGGUCCUAGGAUCAAGUUGUACAUUGGGCUCCCAGUAGGGACCCUGCUUCUCCCUCUACCUACCUCUCUGCCUCUCUCUGUGUCUCUCAUGAAUAAAUAAAAAUUAAAAAAAAACCCUUUCUGAUGAUUUCUUCUCACUGUUAAGUAGUCCAGUAUCCUCAAUAGGUUUUAAAAAACCUUCACAAGCCAGCUCCUGCCAAGUCUCCACCUCAUGUGGGUAUUCACCUUGCUUCACCUUGCUUUCUCUGCUCUAGGACAAGGAGCUUCUUGUGGUUCUUCAAAUUAACAUCUUUUAACUGAGGGGGGUUUUGUAUGCUCUUUCCUCUGCCUGAAAUGCUUGUCUCUUUGGCUGGCUAACUUCUCAUUUUUAGAGUCAUACCCCAAGAAUGCCUCUAUUAUAUGUAAAAGACAUGUUUUCCUAUAUGUCUUCAUAUCCUUAAUCAUACUACUGGUUAUUCAUAUAAUGUCUCCUUACCUUGCUAAUAUUUAUGACAGCAGUGACAUGAUCAUUGUAUUUCUUGGCACCAAGUGUAGUUCGUGGUUAAUUAAAUAAUAAUUACUUAUUAGAUGAAUGAUCGAAUGAAGUGCCAUUCUAUAUAUAAUAUAGAAACUAAAAAAAGGAGAGUCUUUUUUUGCUCAAAGGAAAAUGAAAGGGAGGAAAGCUUUCAGAGAAAAUUAUGUUUACUAUGGGUCUUGAAAAAUAAGCAGGAUGUCAGGUAGAAAGAGCUGGUGGAUUGUUCCCAGAACUGGGACUGGUACAGGUGAAAGCACUGAAGUGAAUGAAGUGUUUGGGGCUUGGUGAGUUCUCUGUGACUAGACUAGAUGAGGAAGGAAAUGAUUAUAGCUACUGUUGGUAAAGAUAAUUCAGGUUCAGGAUGUUACAAGCUUUUAUGCUAUCUCCUAAGUAGUUCAGUUCUAACAGGGGAGCAAAAUGAUCAUAACAAUUAAUAAAAUUGCACAGGUGUUAGCAUAUUACUAGUGUAAGCACUUGAUACAACACAUGUACCUUUUAUUUUCUUUGACUAAAAUUGUUGUCAAGUGGAUUAAUUCAUCUUCAAAUAUAAAACAUUUAUAUCAUAACAGGUAUCUCAUAUAUAGUCUAUGUUUAUGCAAAGUUUCUUAGAGAAAAAUUAAUUUUCUAGAAAGAAAAAUUUAUCAUUUUAAUUCAAUAAAUUUGCAACUUUAAGAUUUUUUCUUUUCUAAAAAGAUUCCUUUAUGCAAUGGAAUUUUCCCAUUGAUUCUACAAACUGGCAGUGUUUGGAAUAAACAGAUAUAAAUGCCAGAUGAGGAAAUUCAUUAAUUCUUAAAAUAUAUCUAGAAAAUGAAACAUAUUUCAAUAUUCUUAAAAGGGGACAAAGUUAAUAGUUAGCCAUGCAAGAAGAAAUAACUCUUUGCUGCCAUCUGAUGGCAGCCCAUUUUGCCACUGGACUGUUUCUUCUGGUCCCACUUCAAGCCCUGGUGAAGAUAAUAGGUCAGUUUAGCCAAUGAACAGUCUGUUGAGGAUCCAAGAGUAUUUGUUCCAAUUGGCGUAAAACUUCUCUGACCUUCAUAGUUCUUGAAAUGUUCAAUGGUUGCAUUUCUUCUUUAACAAUUAGCAGAUAGAAUGUCAGUAAAAUUCAUGUAAGGGAGGAAGCAGAUUCCUUUGAGACAAGGCAGGAAUAACAAGGAAUCCUGGAGGAGCUCCUCUUCCUGGCUGUUGUCAACUCAGAACUCCUUGGAAACUGCCUGUAACCAGAGAAAGCUCUCUUGUUCCAUCUUCUCAAAUGAUUCCUUGGUACAAACAAUCGAGGCUUUUGAGCACUGAUCAUUCAUUUAACAAAUGUUGAGAUACUUUGGUAAACAAUGAAGACAUGGAACUUACAUUGUAGUAAAGGCAGUAGGGAAAAAAGGAAAUGGAUGAAUAAAUCAAUAGUUGAACAUUUUAACAGCUGUUUUGGAGGCAAAAAGUAUCUGAAGGAAUAUCAGAUAAGAACCUGCAUUAGGAAAAGUGAUCAGAAAAAUGUAACAGUGAAUUUGAGACCUAGAGGAAGAGAAUGAGCUAGUCAUGCAGAAAUUUGGAAUAAGUACAUUCUAGACAUGGAGGAUAGCAUGUGUAAAAGGCAUGAGAUAAGACAGAGCUUGGAAAAUUCAGCACAUAGAGGAUGUUGGAGAGGUAUGUUGAGAUGGGAAGAGUGAUGAAAGAUGAAGCGAGGCCUGGACUUUAGGCUGAAAGACCUUUGGGUUUUGUCAAUGAAACAAACAUUACAUAAAGAUGUUAUUUUAAUCCAUGAUAACUGAAAAUACACGAAGGGAGGAGGAUAUAUAUAGUGAAAGAGGACAAAACAAAGCAGGACUAUAGGAAUCACAUCCUGUUAUAUGUGCCUCACACUUGUUUUCUUUCUCUCAACCCACUGACUGUGACUGUAUAGUAUGCAACCCAUUUUUUAAGCCUCCAGCUAUGUAACAAACUGUAAUCUCUAUCCCAUCUUCUAGGUCUGACCUCCAACCUGCUUCUGUCUGAAGAUUGAUCAGUAGCCAUUGCAGGUGAAUUAUAUUUUCCAUCUGUGGGCCCUGUUUCCUAGUUUCUUUUUGCAGUCAGAGUCCUGAAUCUGGAUAACUGUCCACUCUGGCUUUUGGCCAGAUCCAAACAAACUUAAGUCUAUGCCAGUAGAUUGGGUGACCUGAGGAUUUCUAUGAAGGAAGGGUGUCAUGAAAAAUCUCCAUGAAAAAUAAAAUUUCUCAGGUUCUAGUCUUAGAAGUCUGUUCAUUUUGGAAAGUAGAAAUUUGCUAGUAAAAAGAAAAUAUCUGCAUGGAAUUAGUGAUUUCUGAUCUUUAUUUUUAUCGCUUUAAUUCAUGCCAUUCUGCUAUGUUGAAUAUACCCAUAUAUCUUCUCUGAAUAUUAACAUAUCACUUAUUCUGAAAGCACAUGCAAAUUCUAUAUCUUAACACUAGAAUGAAUUUAAAAGGGAUAGAAAAAACCUAGAGACCACAUGGAAAAUAUUUUUUCUUGUAUACAAUUUGCCACAAAAAAAAAUGACUUCUCACAUUCAUAUUCUAAGAGUUCUAAAACGUAUAUUUGAUACUUUCAACUGAAUAAAUGCUAUUAGAAAUUGUGAAUAAAUUGUUUUCUUAUACUCCAAUCAGCAACAAAGAUUAGAGGGUCAGAUUUAAGUGUCCAUUGAGUCUACUGUUCACAAAAAUUCUAAUAAAUAAUGAUUUUAAACAAAACAGCAAUUUCCUUCUGGACUCCUUUCUUCCCUAGCUGGAUGGUGGCACAUCUGACUUUAGCCUUCAUUCUUUUCUGAGUCUUAUCAUUUGAAAUGAUUAAGUAAUUUUAACUAUAAAAUAAUUUUUUUCCUUUUAAUCACAUUUGCAUGGUAGUUUUAAGUUUCCCUUCUAUCCAAAUAAAUACUGAUAAAUUGGUUUAAAACGUUCUGUUUUCAAGUAAGUAAACAAAUCUUUGCAGUUGAGGAAGAGCUCAAAGUCACAAAGUACAAAAAGAAAACCCAUGGAAGCCUUUCAAGGACUGUCUCUUUUUGUUCUGGCUUUGGACAAUGUUAGAGUGCAAGUACUAUUUUGCUUUGCUCAAAUUCAAAGCUUGUUUAUUAUUUCAGGGAAAAAAAUCUUACAAAUAAUAAAUGCAAAUUUAUAAACCCCACUAACUUCCUUUGACCACAGUAUAAG